rnacentral:tRNA from 1 species
UGCGGGGUGGUGUAAUGGUAGCACGCCGGGUUUUGGCCCCGGAAAUUGGGGUUCGAAUCCCUGCCCCGCAG